rnacentral:rRNA from 1 species
GUGGCGAACGGGUGAGUAACACGUGAGCAACCUGCCCCUGACUCUGGGAUAAGCGCUGGAAACGGCGUCUAAUACUGGAUACGAGCAACGGCCGCAUGGCCAGUUGUUGGAAAGAUUUUUUGGUUGGGGAUGGGCUCGCGGCCUAUCAGCUUGUUGGUGAGGUAAUGGCUCACCAAGGCGUCGACGGGUAGCCGGCCUGAGAGGGUGACCGGCCACACUGGGACUGAGACACGGCCCAGACUCCUACGGGAGGCAGCAGUGGGGAAUAUUGCACAAUGGGCGGAAGCCUGAUGCAGCAACGCCGCGUGAGGGAUGACGGCCUUCGGGUUGUAAACCUCUUUUAGCAGGGAAGAAGCGAAAGUGACGGUACCUGCAGAAAAAGCGCCGGCUAACUACGUGCCAGCAGCCGCGGUAAUACGUAGGGCGCAAGCGUUAUCCGGAAUUAUUGGGCGUAAAGAGCUCGUAGGCGGUUUGUCGCGUCUGCUGUGAAAUCCCGAGGCUCAACCUCGGGCCUGCAGUGGGUACGGGCAGACUAGAGUGCGGUAGGGGAGAUUGGAAUUCCUGGUGUAGCGGUGGAAUGCGCAGAUAUCAGGAGGAACACCGAUGGCGAAGGCAGAUCUCUGGGCCGUAACUGACGCUGAGGAGCGAAAGGGUGGGGAGCAAACAGGCUUAGAUACCCUGGUAGUCCACCCCGUAAACGUUGGGAACUAGUUGUGGGGUCCAUUCCACGGAUUCCGUGACGCAGCUAACGCA